UAUUUUAGUCUUGUUAGAGGAACCUGUUUUAUAAUCGAUAAACCACGUAUAUCUCACUUAUUUUAAAUAACUUGUAUACCGUCAUUAUUAGAUAACUUUCAAAAAAUUAGUUAUUAAAAUUAAAUAAAAUUAAAUAUAUUAGAUCAAGGUGCAGUUAAUAAAUAAGAAAAAAUGGGUUACAAUAAAAUUUAUUUAAAACGAAUUAUAUAAAUGUAAAAAUAUAUGAAGGAGGAUUUAAUUGUAAUUUUUUUUAUAAGAUAAUAAUAUGAUAAUAGCUCUAAAAUAU
rnacentral:rRNA from 1 species